rnacentral:rRNA from 1 species
AACGUAGGAGACAAACGUUAUCCGGAGUUACUGGGCGUAAAGGGCGUGUAGGUGGUUUCGUAAGUCUGGCGUGAAAUUUCUCGGCUUAACCGAGGCAGGUCGUCGGAUACUGCGGAACUAGAGGACGGUAGAGGCAGGUGGAAUUCCGGGUGUAGCGGUGGAAUGCGUAGAGAUCCGGAAGAACACCGGUGGCGAAGGCGGCCUGCUGGGCUAUGGCUGACACUGAGGCGCGACAGCGUGGGGAGCAAACAGG